AAAAGACUCACAAGAAAAACUGUUUUGUUCAGAGUAAGAUUAAUAUAAAAAUUUUUGAUGCUAUGAGAUGGUCUCAUCAAUGUGCAACAAUUGAACUGGAUUUCCAACUUCCUGAGAGAUUCAACCUCACGCUAGGAUUUUAUGGCUUUCUCCCCAUCAAGUUGUAGUAAUUCCUGUCAGUAGUAAAUAUGAUGAUUAUGCCGAACCGGUAAAUUUAAUUUGAUUCAAAAGAAGUUCCAUGCAGCUGGUUAUCGUGUUGAUACAGACUUGGAUCACGGAUCAACACUAAAUAAGAAAGUUCGCAAUGCACAACUUUCACAGUACAACUUCAUUCUUGUUGUUGGUGAAAAAGAGACGGUCUCAGACACGGUCAACGUCAGAACACGUGACAACAAAGUACUCGGUGAAAAAUCGGUCAUGGCCGUGAUCGAACGCUUGCGAGAUUUAGUCAGCUCACGAAGUCUGACAAGCGAA